UUUGGUUACAGGACAUGAACAAAUGACGUUUGAACUGCUCAAGAAGCUUCCUUUCUGCUGACCAGCUAUCAUAAUACUGAAAAGUGCUAAAAACCAUGAGUAGUCUUGCCUAGCUGCGAAGCCUGUGAACUACAGUAGUGACCAGCGGGAGAAGAUUUGCCAAGGGCUGUAAUAGUGGCAUGGAUGUUAUAGAGAUGGAGGUUAAGGCAGGAACUCACAAAUGGUAACGCACGGAGAAUAAGUGUCUGUGGAGUGCUUAGCUACAGAUGCGGAGUCUACAUCACUUCUAUCUCUGAGGUCCCAGACCAUAGCCGAAGAGAGGGCGGAAGAAGUUGAGAGCCAGAGGUGGAGCAAUCUUGGGGAGUCCAUCCACUAUUUGUGGAGCUCUGUUUGUGGAUGUGGAUGUUUUGACCUCUUCAGUCUCAGACUUGGUGUUAGUAUUACCAGCUGAAGAAGCUGGGAAGCAGAAAGCCUGUGAGAAGAACCCAAAGUCAAGAUGGGGAGAGGUCUUAACACGAGAAGAGCCGACGAUGACAUCUGACACCGAGGGUGGUUUUUUACAGAAGUUCUGAAGCUGAGAUGCUGUAAAGGAGAACUGUGGUGGCUGUGAAGUAGUUGGAGGGAAGGAGUCUUGACAUAAAAGUCAAACCACGAUGAUCCCGUCUGAAUGCCAGAGGGCAUGCGCACUUUUACAAGCUUGGAUAUUAUUGGCACAGGAAGCACAACAUAUGCUUAAAUGUGGAUUUCCUUUGCUAUUUGGAGACCCUUUCCCUGUUGUGCCGUUUUGGUAGGUUGCCAUUCCCCUCCCUUUGGUUGGCUUGGAUAGAGUAUCUCUUGCCUUGGAUCUUACAGAUCCAAGCCUGGUAGCACCUGGUCAGGGUGAGAACAAGAAAAAGACUACUCCUGAGGAUUUCCCAGUCCUGGAUGUAUGGGCCCUCCAUGAUUCUCUCUCCUUCUGUAACACGAGACCCCAGGUUUUGCCCAGAGUACUUAGGAGAGAAAGAGAACAUAUAAUGAAUGCUAGAACUUCAUCAAGAAGGCUGUCUUGGUUACAUUUCUAUUGCUGUGGUAAAAUGCCAUGACCAAGGCAACUUAUAAAAAGAAGGCUCUUAAUUUGACAUAGCUUCAGAAGGUUAGAGUUCAUGGCGGUGCCAUGAAGGUAUAGCUGAGUGCUUACAUCUUGAUCUACAACUGAGAGAGCGAGAAAGAAUAUGCCCACUGGCAUUAGUAGGAGUCUUUUGAAACCUCAUAGGCCACUCCCAGUGACAUAUCUUCCCUAACAAGGUAGUACCCUCCUAAUCCUUCUCAAACAGUUCCACCAGCUGGGGACCAAGUAGUCAAAUAUGUGAGCCCAUGCGGAUAAUUCUCCUUCAAAUCAUCGGAAGAGAUAAAUAAAGAAGGGCUCCAGUGAGUUGGAAUCCGGGACAGUGUCACCAUUUGUAAUCCUUCAGGUCAGAACUAUCUUUGGGAUCCCCAUAUUGAAUUCCAAACAAAGCCACAUCUUUUACAGCUGCUUCCUUUGUGAUUUGGGAGCCUGCAGCAACUACCUGAGGGAAAACACGCAGGUGGUCAUUCUAGUGACUGAGAACUUCCCCACAGUGCACCAGAGAUUCUCACCGACUAGUGAUUGACAACUUGGAAUUCUGCAUUUCAAGAGCUGCGGAUCAGUUCCAGGGGCCAUAGGUUACAUGGCCGGUUGUUGAGCACGGACUCUCAACAUACAUUUCCUAAACCAUUUAGCCUUGUACUGUGAUAAUGGACCAUUGGUGUGAGAAAGGACCUUAACUAUCACAUAUGAUCGGUGAGUCUCUUUACUCAGAUGGCCUGUGACCAACUGGGGGAAAGGAGGGCGAUCAUUCUUUUUGUUCUGAAUCUAUAGUGCAGCUUGGUUCGACUAGACCAUCUCAUAAAUCAUAGUGAGUUGUAUGUUUCAAGAUAUCGAUGGACAAAAUGAGUCUUUAUGGGCACCCUGGGCCCCUAACUGAAGUUACUUCUCAGAUAAUGCCUCCUGCUUCUUGUCAGUUUUCUUUUACCCUUUACCUGUGUAUCUGUAGUUUUUCCUGUACCAGGUUUCAGCUGAAAUGUCAGAAGAGGCGAGGCUUGAGGUUAAAUCACAGCUCUGCUGGUUUGGGACUUUGUCACAUCCAAUGAGUCAUCUCUCUGCAGUAAGUCUCGGGCUCCC